rnacentral:lncRNA from 1 species
AGGGAAGCCAGCGACCUGAGGGGAACCGGUUGACCGGAAGGGAGCUAGUGACCGGAGGGGAGCCGGUGACCGGAAGGUAGCCGGUAACCGGAGGGGAGGAGCCGGUUGACCGGAGAGAAGCCAGCGACCUGAGGGGAACCGGUUGACCGGAAGGGAGCCAGUGACCGGAGGGUAGCCGGUGACCGGAAGGUAGCCGGUAACCGAAGGGGAGGAGCCGGUGACCUGAGGGGAGCCAGUGACCAGAGGGGAGGAGCCGGCGACCAGAGGGGAGCCGGCGACUGGAGGGGAACCGAUGACCUCAGGGGAGCUGGUGACCGGAGAGG